UCCGAUGUCGCCCAAUUGGCAGGGCGGACGGGUGUUAACCGUCCAGGCUCCGGUUCGAGUCCGGGCAUUGGAG
rnacentral:tRNA from 1 species